CCAAUAGCGUAUAUUAAAGUUGUUGCAGUUAAAAAGCUCGUAGUUGAAUUUUAGACCUGGCCAGGCGGUCCGUCUUUGGCGAGUACUGUUCUGUGUCGGGCCUUUCCUUCUGGUUAACCGGCGUGCUCUUUAUUGAGUGCGCCGUGCGAGCCAGGACCAUUACCUUGAAAAAAUUAGAGUGUUUAAAGCGGGCAUUUGCUUGAAUAGAUUAGCAUGGAAUAAUAGAAUAGGACGUUGGUUCUAUUUUGUUGGUCUAGGACCACCGUAAUGAUUAAUAGGGAUAGUUGGGGGCAUUAGUAUUCAAUUGUCAGCGGUGAAAUUCUUGGAUUUAUUGAAGACUAACUAUUGCGAAAGCAUUUGCCAAGGAUGUUUUCAUUAAUCAAGAACGAAAGUUAGGGGAUCGAAGACGAUCAGAUACCGUCGUAGUCUUAACCAUAAACUAUGCCGACUAGGAAUCGGGCGACGUUAUUUUCAUGACUCGCUCGGCGCCUUAUG
rnacentral:rRNA from 1 species